UCCUACGGGGGGCAGCAGUGGGGAAUCUUCCGCAAUGGGCGCAAGCCUGACGGAGCAAUGCCGCGUGAACGAAGAAGGUCUUCGGAUUGUAAAGUUCUGUCCUUAUCGAAGAGAGGGUAUAGAGUGAAAAAUGAUAUACUAGGACGGUAGAUGAGGAGGAAGCCCCGGCUAACUACGUGCCAGCAGCCGCGGUAAUACGUAGGGGGCGAGCGUUGUCCGGAAUCACUGGGCGUAAAGGGGGCGCAGACGGCGAUGCAAGCCAGGAGUGAAAGCCCGGGGCCCAACCCCGGGACUGCUCUUGGAAC
rnacentral:rRNA from 1 species